UGUCGGGUCGUAAACCUCACUAGCGGCCGCACACUCUUGUUUACUAUGAGACUUCGGGCCAGACCUUACCAAGCCCAACUGAGCCUAUCUCCAACUAAAUAGGGACGCAUACAUGCUCACACAAGUAUGCGCGGCCUCCACAAGUUGAAAGACAUCGAAGCACAAAACCCUACCCUCUCCCUCUUUCUUGCGUGACCAGUGGUAACUCUUAUCCUCGGGAACUCAUCUCUCUCGUUCCGCCGCCCCCUUCGCAUCCCGUACUUCGGGUUUGGUUGACCAACUUGGAAUGGGUAGUGUAAAGUAACAUACCGAGCAAUCUAAGGUGAGUUCACUACAUUCAAGCAUGCGUCCCAGUGGUUGGGGACAGUCAGUGGUUUGGUCGUUAAGUAUCUUGGAUUUGGGGAAACUUGCUGUCUGGAGUAGCUGGAGUGGUCAUGGGUCUCAUGGAAGGAUUAUGUGA
rnacentral:lncRNA from 1 species